GACCCCGGGGCGCGGCCCCUCAGGGCUGAGGCGAUGGCGGGAGCCGGGAGCAGGACAAGACGGGAGCUCUAUGGGAACAUGGGAACACACACAACUACACCACAAAUCCUCUGAGCCAAGGAAACCCUGGAGGAGAGUGUCACGAGAGCCUUUUCCAGCAGGAUUAUCCCAGACAGUCCGUGUGCUACCUGGAGCUCCCCAAAAUGAAGACAUUGGAUUUUUUUCUCUGCCCUCAUUUGCAUUAUUUAGUGUCCACAGUUCCACCUGCUUGCACAGGAGAAAUGGCAAAAAUUCCUGAAUCCAGACUGGGAAAAACUCAUAAAUCCAUUCUGGGUUUGUUAAAUAGCUUGAACAGAUAAUGAAUCAUCUGCAAAUAUUUGAUUCCAUUAAUGAAUGGUACAGUUAUGGGCUGUACUUUUCCCCUUUCCAAACAACAUUUGAGGAGCUUGAAUAAAUACAAUAAUUGAAAAUUAAUUUAAAAGCGCUUUAAAACCAAAUCUGUAUUAUUUAAAAUCAAAUUCUAUGUUCAGGUCAAGCUAAAAUGUUCAUCAAAUCACCCCAAAAUCAAAUCACCCCUAAAUGACUCCUCCUUUCUCUUCAUUUCUCAUUCGGCCCAGGGCACCAAAAAACUCAAUUACUCCGAAGGUUCUACUCCCAGCACAUAAUUAAUAAUACUAAUAAUUAAUCACAAGCGCUUUUCCACUGUGCCUCACACAUUAAGAAUGAAACCCUUCCCAGGCAGUUCCUCUUGGUGCCAGCUCCUUGAGCUGAGCCUAAGCUGCGUUUAAGGCCUCUCUCCUCCUCGAGAGGCAGGAAAAUGUCAUUUUUUGGUUUUUCCUGGCUAUUUUUUCCCAUGUGAUGUCCCAGUCCUGCCCUUCCCAGGCAGGUAAAGCCCAGGCUGAUUCAAGCUGGAAUGGGGGCAGGAUCAGGCUCGGGGAAUGGGAAUGGGAACGGG